rnacentral:rRNA from 1 species
UUCUAAGGCCAUGCUACCCUGAACAAACCCGAUUCCGUCUGAUCUCGGAAGCUAAGCAGGGUCGGGCCUGGUUAGUACUUGGAUUGAAGACCACCUACCUAGGAAGACCGGGUGCUGUAGGCA